rnacentral:tRNA from 1 species
AGCUUUUUGUUUUGGAAACAGGCGACUUUGAAAGUCCCCAAAAGCGGUUCGACUCCUCUAAAAGCUU